rnacentral:snRNA from 1 species
AGCUUUGAGCAGUGGCAGUAUCGUAGCCAAUGAGGUUUAUCUGAGGCCCGAUUAUUGCUAAUCAAAAUGUAAAGGCAGAAAUCAUUCUUCUAAAUAUCACCAAAUGCUCUCAAUAGAAGCUGAGGGACUGUGCUCUGAAGAGUAGUGUUUUGAUAGUAUAAUGCACUCAGCAUGAUAAAUAAUGACUUGAAGGUCUUGAAGGGACUUACUUAAGGUUCCUUUUGUGGAACUUUUAGUUAUUAUCAUUGUAG